AUUGAACGCUGGCGGAAUGCUUUACACAUGCAAGUCGAGCGGCAGCACGGGGGCAACCCUGGUGUCGAGCGGCGAACGGGUGAGUAAUACAUCGGAACAUGCCCAGUCGUGGGGGAUAACACUUCGAAAGAAGUGCUAAUACCGCAUACGUCCUGAGGGAGAAAGCGGGGGAUCGCAAGACCUCGCGCGAUUGGAGGGGCCGAUGUCGGAUUAGCUAGUUGGUGGGGUAAAGGCCUACCAAGGCAACGAUCUGUAGCUGGUCUGAGAGGAUGAUCAGCCACACUGGGACUGAGACACGGCCCAGACUCCUACGGGAGGCAGCAGUGGGGAAUUUUGGACAAUGGGGGCAACCCUGAUCCAGCCAUUCCGCGUGAGUGAAGAAGGCCUUCGGGUUGUAAAGCUCUUUAGGCAGGAAGGAAACGGAGAGAGCUAACAUAGCUUGCUAAUGACGGUACCUGAAGAAGAAGCACCGGCUAACUACGUG
rnacentral:rRNA from 1 species